rnacentral:rRNA from 1 species
CUUUGAGAGAGAGUUCAAAGGGCGUGAAACCGCUUAGAAGAAAACGGACGGAACCGUCUGACGCCCUCGGGAAUCAGUCGAACGACGCGCGAACGCGUCUCGAUCGUCGGAGCGUAAAAGUCCGGCUCGAGGCGUCUAGUAGUCGCGUUCGUAAGGCGCAUUUCUCGAGGGUUAGCGCCGCGACCGAUGCGAACGGCCGACGACGCCGUCGAGUUGAGGUCGAACGCCCUUCGCGGGUAUUCGUAACCAGCUCGUUCGGUACGAUUGUCGGAUCUACGAAAGCAUCGAGCGAAUACUAUAAAUACGUCGGCGUAAAACGCUCGACGAGCGGCGGAGACUCGGCCAGUCGUUCGGUACCUGCUCGCAGGUGCUCGUUCGGCGCGAGGUCGUUUCCCGAUGUCGCCGUCGACGCUACCGACGUUUAGGCGUCCGCGGCGUCCGAGUCGGCCACCCGUCCGACCCGUCUUGAAACACGGACCAAGGAGUCUAACGUACGCGCGAGUUAAUGGGUGGAAAACCCAUAAGCGCAAUAAAAGUAAAAGUCGUCCCAAGACGGCCGAGGUACGAUCCUAGACUACGCGUCUAGGCGCAGUACCGUCCCGUCCCGACCGCACGUCGGUAGGGCGGAGAUUGAGCGCAUACGUUGGGACCCGAAAGAUGGUGAACUAUGCCUGAGCAGAGCGAAGCCAGAGGAAACUCUGGUGGAGGUUCGUAGCGGUUCUGACGUGCAAAUCGAUCGUCAGACUUGGGUAUAGGGGCGAAAGACUAAUCGA